rnacentral:lncRNA from 1 species
GGAGUCGAUCUGGGAGAGAGUGGACUCAUUUUCUCAGUUCUCACUGAGAACUCUCCAGACGCCAGGCAGAGUGCCGAGCGGUCGGAAUACAGAGAUGCCCAGCAAGCUCACCGUUGACAAGGACCAGAGUUCCAAGCAAAAGGCUCCAAGUACAAACGACCCAGGAGCGAAGGUCUCUUUCAGGGGAAGAGGGCGAGGUGGACACCGACUCUUUCCAGACACGCAUCCACGGCUCCAGUGACCAUUUUAAACUGGAAGAGACAGCGCUCUCUUUAAGUAGCGAUUUCACGACUUCCUCUCUCCGCCUGCAUCACGGCGGCUCUGGAGCAACGAGACCAGUCAUGGAAGCUGACAGAAGUUUCUGCACGGCAGCGUAUACAUUUUGAUGCCUGACAUGAACCUCGAGAGCCGCCGGAUAACCUUCUCAUUCUGAGGCUUGCUGUUUAACUUUAUACACCGUCUGUUGGAUGAGAUGGCGUGGUAGGUGUGAUGUUUCACAGCCCGGAAGACUGGCUUCGCACUCUGGCCUCCGCCCGUGGCCACGAGGGCCAAAGCAGAGAGGUUUUCUGGAACUGACCGCUCUCCCACGCUCUUCAAGACCUACAGGC